rnacentral:rRNA from 1 species
GGGUUGUGAGGUUAAGCGACUAAGCGUACACGGUGGAUGCCCUGGCAGUCAGAGGCGAUGAAGGGCGUGCUAAUCUGCGAUAAGCGCCGGUAAGGUGAUAUGAACCGUUAUAACCGGCGAUACCCGAAUGGGGAAACCCAGUGUGACUCGUCACACUAUCAUUAACUGAAUCCAUAGGUUAAUGAGGCGAACCGGGGGAACUGAAACAUCUAAGUACCCCGAGGAAAAGAAAUCAACCGAGAUUCCCCCAGUAGCGGCGAGCGAACGGGGAGGAGCCCAGAGCCUGAAUCAGCAUGUGUGUUAGUGGAAGCGUCUGGAAAGGCGCGCGAUACAGGGUGACAGCCCCGUACACAAAAGCGCAUGUGCUGUGAGCUCGAUGAGUAGGGCGGGACACGUGGUAUCCUGUCUGAAUAUGGGGGGACCAUCCUCCAAGGCUAAAUACUCCUGACUGACCGAUAGUGAACCAGUACCGUGAGGGAAAGGCGAAAAGAACCCCGGCGAGGGGAGUGAAAAAGAACCUGAAACCGUGUACGUACAAGCAGUGGGAGCACCCUUUGGGUGUGACUGCGUACCUUUUGUAUAAUGGGUCAGCGACUUAUAUUCUGUAGCAA